UUAACUGUCGUAUAAUUGGCAUAAUACGACAAGUCGUUUAUACACAGAUCAUCAUAGGGUAUCAUGGAGCCACGUCAUACAAAAGUUCCAUGCCCCCGUGUCAGUUUCUCAACUGUUUAAAAUCUCUCUCCCUCUCUCUACAAAAUCCAAGCUAGGAGUACAUGCAGACAUGAAUGGCAAUUCUGUUUUCCUCUGUGCCAUCUCUUUCCCUGAAAAAACUCACAAUCCCGCCAAAACCAAUUGCUUCACUAUUCAAGACCAUGAAUCCAAUCUCAAAUUCUGAGCCGAGACCGUCGGCUUCUUCUGCUGCAACGAUCCACCAGGUCCCGGGCCUAGACUCCGACGAAGUGGACCGCAUUGCCGACCAAACCUUUCAAAGGUACUCCUCGUCGUCUUCGAGGACCGGCCGAGGAGGAUUAGGGACCGCCGUAGUUUGGUUCAGGAACGAUCUGAGAGUGUUGGACAAUGAGGCUUUGUACAAGGCGUGGGUUUCGUCCGAGAUGGUAUUGCCGGUUUAUUGCGUCGAUCCUCGGCUUUUCGGCACCACCUAUUACUUCGGAUUCCCUAAAACUGGAGCGUUGAGAGCGCAAUUUCUUGUUGAAUGUUUGGCUGACCUGAAAAAGAAUUUGAUAAAGCGCGGCCUGAAUUUGCUUAUUCGACAUGGAAAACCUGAGGAAAUUCUCCCUUCUCUCGCAGAAGCUUUUGGCGCACACACAGUAUAUGCCCACAAAGAAACCUGCAGUGAGGAGCUGAAGGUCGAAAGAUUGGUCGGCAAAGCUCUGCGGCGAGUUGUGCUACAACCAUCUUUGGGGUCGAGUAAUACUCACAACCCUAAGUUACAGCUUAUUUGGGGUACCACCAUGUAUCACAUUGAUGACCUCACAUUUGAUACCAGCUGUUUACCGGAUGUGUAUACUCAGUUUCGUAAGUCUGUUGAAGCCAAAUGCACUAUCCGGGACUGCAUUAAAACUCCAACAUUUCUUGGGCCGCCACCAAGUGUCGGCGAUUGGGGAUGUCCUCCUUCAGUGGAUCAGCUUGGAGUCCACUCACAUAAUGUUAGCAAAGGAAUGAAGUUUGUGGGGGGUGAAAGUGCUGCACUGGGCAGGGUAAACGAAUACUUCUGGAAGAAGGACUUUCUAAGGAUAUACAAAGAUACCAGAAAUGGGAUGUUAGGACCUGAUUAUUCAACAAAAUUCUCUCCAUGGCUUGCUUUAGGAAGCCUCUCUCCUCGCUUCAUAUAUGAAGAGGUGAAGAGAUAUGAACAGGAAAGGCAAGCAAAUAAUUCCACAUACUGGGUUUUGUUCGAAUUGAUAUGGAGAGAUUACUUCAGGUUUCUAUCAGUCAAAUAUGGGAAUUCCCUUUUCCAUAUAGGUGGUCCAAGAAAAGUGGAGCAUGAAUGGAGCCAGGAAAAGGAUUUGUUUGAAUCCUGGAGAGACGGCUGUACGGGGUACCCUCUCAUAGAUGCAAACAUGAAAGAACUAUCAACCACUGGGUUCAUGUCAAACCGAGGACGUCAAAUAGUAUGUUCCUUUCUUGUUCGUGAUAUGGGUAUUGAUUGGCGUAUGGGAGCUGAAUGGUUUGAGACAUGCCUUUUGGAUUAUGACCCAUGUUCCAAUUAUGGAAAUUGGACAUAUGGAGCAGGAGUUGGGAAUGACCCUAGAGAAGAUCGCUACUUCAGCAUCCCAAAGCAAGCACAGACAUAUGAUCCUGAAGGCGAGUAUGUGGUGUAUUGGUUGCCACAGUUAAGAGCACUUCCUAAUGAUAAAAGGAACUUUCCUGGAAAAUCAUAUAUUGAGCAAGUUGUACCACUCAAGUUCAAUAGUGUUGGUAAGCACCAUGGUCAGAGUAUGGGCUUGGGUGCAAGAAAAACCGGUUUCGGAGGGAGACAAACAAGGGGGCGCGGGAGAUAGAACUUCAAAAAUAAGAUAAAGCACGGCAUUCUUCUAAAUUAUAAGUAGUGAGGAAUGGUUUUUCAGUACUCUUGUUUCCCUUAAUAUGUUUGGUAUCUUUUAACCUCAACAAUGUAGGAAAAGUGUGAGCAUCCAAAUCCAUGAGUGAAAAAUGUAGACAAGUUGAUUUGACAGGCAAACCUUGGAAGCUCAUAUAAAAUGCAAAUAAAUGAGUCUAUUGUGUUGAAGAUAACGGUUCUGGAGUUUCAGUCUUUCUGUAAAAAGACACCGUCUCCCUUAUCAGCUAGAAAGGAGGUAGCUCAUAUGGCUGUGCUGAAAAUACAUGUCAUACUGAACAAGUGAGAUUUUGUUUCUUGUGAGCUCUCAUUUAUUUCUGUUCAUGCUGAAUUGUUGUCUUUGUUCUUAGGUAUAGAGCAAAGUUACCUAUUCUUUCUUUGUUAAUUGCUUUCACUUAUUUGGAGGAUG